CCUGAACGCUGGCGGCGUGGCUAAGACAUGCAAGUCGUACGGGGCCGCAAGGCCCAGUGGCGAACGGGUGAGUAAUGAAUCGCUAAUGUGCCCCGGACUCAGGGAUAGCCGCUCGAAAGGGCGGGUAAUACCUGAUGACAUAACCCUGUCGCAUGGCAGGGUUCUCAAAGGUCCGCCGGUCUGGGAGCAGGCGAUUUCGUAUCAGCUAGUUGGUGAGGUAACGGCUCACCAAGGCGACGACGCGUAGCCGGACUGAGAGGUUGGCCGGCCACAUUGGGACUGAGACACUGCCCAGACUCCUACGGGGGCUGCAGUAACGAAUCUUCCGCAAUGCACGAAAGUGUGACGGAGCGACGCCGCGUGUGGGACGAAGUCC
rnacentral:rRNA from 1 species